UCCUCCGGCCAUACCACCCUGAAUGCGCCCGAUCUUGUCUGAUCUCGGAAGCUAAGCAGGGUCAGGCCUUGUUAGUACUUGGAUGGGAGACCGCCUGGGAAUACCGGGUGCUGUAAGCU
rnacentral:rRNA from 1 species